rnacentral:rRNA from 1 species
UGAGCAAUCUGCCCUUCUCAUCGGAAUAAGCGUUGGAAACGACGUCUAAUGCCGAAUACGACCUCCUUUCGCAUGAUCGGAGGUGGAAAGCUCCGGCGGAGAAGGAUGAGCUCGCGGCCUAUCAGCUAGUUGGUGUGGGUAAUGGCCCACCAAGGCGACGACGGGUAGCCGGCCUGGAGAGGGUGACCCGGCCACACUGGGACUGAGACACGGCCCAGACCUCCGUACGGGAGCAG